UCUAGAAGUGAUUGUUGGUGGGACCGGAUUCCUGGCAAGAUUUCUCCGGAACACAAUUGGAAAUAUCAAUACGUCCUCUAAUGCGCUUCAUGUGACCAAUAAUACUGUUUGUCUGGCGCAACCGAUUCAUCUGACGUCCCAGCAAUAUAUCGGCACUUGUUUACUACUGACCAUCACGCUGAUCCUUCCUUUUGUCCAAAUAUAUAUGAGCCGACUGCGCAGAGUCCUGGCUGCUUACUUUUACCCUAAGGUAAGAUAUUAUGGGCUGAGAGAGUUUUUUAUUUAGGAAUAUUUUGGAAUUUAGUAACCUGGGGGGCUUUUUUUAGCUUCUGGUAAAGUGGCCCAUGUGUCUAUUUUGUCACCUUGGCUCAUGGCAGAAAGGGCACUACUAAAUUUCACUUUUUUUUGUUCUACUAAUGAUCUGAUGUAUUUCCUAGUUUAAAUAACUGUGUAACACCACCACCUGCUGCUUUGUUUCCUUUAGACUGAGAAACGGCGAAUUCUCCAUCUCUAUAAUGAGCUACUGAGGUACAGGGACCUGUAUUUAAAUAUAAAGAGGAAGAACUUAAUGAUCACUGCCAACCGCCACAGAAACUUUAUGAUGUCUAUACCUGGUAUGCUAUUCCGACAAAUGAAAUGGCUGAGAGUAAUUAUAAAGCGACGCUGUUUGGUUUGUAAUGCCAAAGAAACCAAGACUUCCUAUAUUUGCAAGACAUCAAACUGUGACACAGCCUACUGCCUCGACUGCUGGAAGGAGAUAAAGAAAUGCUGCUUUGUUUGCUUACCAGAUGAUUUAAUUGAAAAUUACUUCCGUGAAGACUAAUACUACAGCGAUG